UACAGAGGUCCCAAGCGUUGUUCGGAUUCACUGGGCGUAAAGGGUGCGUAGGCGGUCGGGUAAGUCUGAUGUGAAAUCUCACAGCUUAACUGUGAAACUGCAUUGGAUACUAUUCGGCUUGAGAGUUGGAGGGGGGACUGGAAUUCUUGGUGUAGCAGUGAAAUGCGUAGAUAUCAAGAGGAACACCCGUGGCGAAGGCGGCACUCUGGGACGGUACUGACGCUGAGACGCGAAAAGCGUGGGGAGCGAACAGG
rnacentral:rRNA from 1 species